rnacentral:rRNA from 1 species
UGACGCUGCUAUACUGCAGUCGAGCGACAGAUAAGGAGCUUGCUCCUUUGACGUUAGCGGCGGACGGGUGAGUAACACGUGGGUAACCUACCUAUAAGACUGGGAUAACUUCGGGAAACCGGAGCUAAUACCGGAUAACAUUUGGAACCGCAUGGUUCUAAAGUGAAAGAUGGUUUUGCUAUCACUUAUAGAUGGACCCGCGCCGUAUUAGCUAGUUGGUAAGGUAACGGCUUACCAAGGCGACGAUACGUAGCCGACCUGAGAGGGUGAUCGGCCACACUGGAACUGAGACACGGUCCAGACUCCUACGGGAGGCAGCAGUAGGGAAUCUUCCGCAAUGGGCGAAAGCCUGACGGAGCAACGCCGCGUGAGUGAUGAAGGGUUUCGGCUCGUAAAACUCUGUUAUUAGGGAAGAACAAACGUGUAAGUAACUGUGCACGUCUUGACGGUACCUAAUCAGAAAGCCACGGCUAACUACGUGCCAGCAGCCGCGGUAAUACGUAGGUGGCAAGCGUUAUCCGGAAUUAUUGGGCGUAAAGCGCGCGUAGGCGGUUUCUUAAGUCUGAUGUGAAAGCCCACGGCUCAACCGUGGAGGGUCAUUGGAAACUGGGAAACUUGAGUGCAGAAGAGGAAAGUGGAAUUCCAUGUGUAGCGGUGAAAUGCGCAGAGAUAUGGAGGAACACCAGUGGCGAAGGCGACUUUCUGGUCUGUAACUGACGCUGAUGUGCGAAAGCGUGGGGAUCAAACAGGAUUAGAUACCCUGGUAGUCCACGCCGUAAACGAUGAGUGCUAAGUGUUAGGGGGUUUCCGCCCCUUAGUGCUGCAGCUAACGCAUUAAGCACUCCGCCUGGGGAGUACGACCGCAAGGUUGAAACUCAAAGGAAUUGACGGGGACCCGCACAAGCGGUGGAGCAUGUGGUUUAAUUCGAAGCAACGCGAAGAACCUUACCAAAUCUUGACAUCCUUUGAAAACUCUAGAGAUAGAGCCUUCCCCUUCGGGGGACAAAGUGACAGGUGGUGCAUGGUUGUCGUCAGCUCGUGUCGUGAGAUGUUGGGUUAAGUCCCGCAACGAGCGCAACCCUUAAGCUUAGUUGCCAUCAUUAAGUUGGGCACUCUAGGUUGACUGCCGGUGACAAACCGGAGGAAGGUGGGGAUGACGUCAAAUCAUCAUGCCCCUUAUGAUUUGGGCUACACACGUGCUACAAUGGACAAUACAAAGGGCAGCUAAACCGCGAGGUCAUGCAAAUCCCAUAAAGUUGUUCUCAGUUCGGAUUGUAGUCUGCAACUCGACUACAUGAAGCUGGAAUCGCUAGUAAUCGUAGAUCAGCAUGCUACGGUGAAUACGUUCCCGGGUCUUGUACACACCGCCCGUCACACCACGAGAGUUUGUAACACCCGAAGCCGGUGGAGUAACCAUUUAUGGAGCUAGCCGUCGAAGUGACAAAG